rnacentral:sRNA from 1 species
UAUUUAUAGAUCUUCCUUCUCCCCCCCCCACCUCCCAAUUUAAUUAUAAACUCCCUGAGGCCAGUAACUGUCUUAGAUUUCUGUUUCCCCAUAUAUGAUAGAAACUCAGUAGUAAACAGUCUUUUGAUUGAUUGAUGUAAAGGUCAAUAGACAUUUAUGAAGCCCCUGAAAUGUGCCAGACUCUGGGGAAUACCAAGAGGAUUAAUAUACUGUCCAAGUCCUCAAAAAGCUUAAGUCAUAAAUGUAUAAAGCCAAAUAAAUGUAUAAAUUUAUGAAGCCAAAAUGUGUGAUCCUCCAUACCAGUAGGGCUGUAGGCUAAUUAGUACACAGUAGGGAAGGGACUUAACACAGUCAACCAUAGAAUGAAAAGAACUAACAUUCAUUGCACCUUCUGCAUUUUCGUUUUUCAUAAACUACAUGGAACCAUAUUCUUCUAAACCUAGCGGUGUUUUCACAUCCGGUAUCAUUUCUGCUUUCAGAACCAACCUCAGGACUCUUUGGUUCUACCUGGUAGUUGAUGGGUUAAUAGACAUAAAAUCAAAGGCUUAGCUGCCACUUUGGAAUAAAGUUGUUUGCAGUGUGCUCCAAACUCUUGGCUUCCUCUCCAAGACAAAGGAAUGUGGACCAGACUCAACCCCUCCUCUAAUAAUGUACAUUUGGGUAGAGCUUUAUACUUCAUUAUAUAUUUUUGCUAUUUCAUUUGAGCCUCACAUUAACCCUGUGAAGUAGUGGAUUUUUGCUGGAGGAUUAAGUAAAUGAUUACCAAGGGUAAGUCAUUCCACGCACACCUUGCGCUGUAGAGGGGCCAGUGGUGGUGAGCAACUUCACUCUUUGCAGAGUCUGAGGCUCAGACAGAAGAAUUUGGCUUUAAUUUCAUUUGCAUGCCUGGCCUACCUUGUUUAAUAUAUGUUCUCCAUGGGGUAUUUCUCAGGUCUUCUGGCUCCUAGGUACUCCUCUUUAUAACACACUAAGAGAGAAUCAUCCAACUCUCUCUAGCCAAAAGCUUUCCCUCAUCUUCUUGAAGUUCUCCUGAGCCUUUGGGAACUAAGACUCUAAUGCAUAGAGUGGGGUUGGUUGGGACUGCCCUUUCUCAGAGUAGAUGAGGUAGAACUUCAUGAGGUGGACUUGCCUUAAUGUCGUUCUUUUCUUCUUUUCAGAUUGGCUCUACCAGUGCACCUGGACAGGGAGGAAUCCUGGCUCAGCGGGAGUUUGACAGGCGAUUCUCCCCUCAUUUUCUGGACUGGGCAGCCUUUGGGGUCAUGACCCUUCCCUCCAUCGGCAUCCCCCUGCUAUUGUGGUACUCCAGCAAGAGGAAAUAUGACACUCCCAAAACGAAGAAGAACUGAUUGGGGCUUCCACAGCCCUCCUCUCCCAAGAAAUCCAGGCUCCUCUCCCAAGAAAUCCAGGUGCUUUCCAGACUCCAAAGAGUAUCUUAAAUGCAAUCUCUUCUCUCUUAGCCCUUGGCCACUUUCUCCUGGAUCCUGCCCUGCUCUCAGCCAUAGUGAAGGACCAGGCCUAGGAGUCUGCGAGAGCCUCCUUGGUUCCAUCGUGAAGCCAUAAACAGGAAUGCCUUUGGCAAUAGCCUUGAGCCUAGAGGGCCCUCUGAUGCCCCACUGAGGUGCUGUUGGUUUAUUGCUGGCAAUGUGAAUUCUCUCAGGGGUCUAGGAGGGGCAUUUUGGAGACUGCCUGACACCACCCCUAUCCCCUGCCUCCCCCUCUCAGAAGAGGGUGGAAGAUGAAAUGAAAGCUAUGGGACUCUUGGAGGAUACCCAGUGUCUAUUCUGGGUUAGAGAAGUGCUUACUAAGGGGUUUUCUAAUAAAAACAAAUGCCACAUUG